GAAGAUACAAUUGUUGAUAAGGUUGAAUGAACUCAGCCAAGGCCCUUUUCAUAAGGAAGAGCCCAUUGACCUCUCCUUCUGAGACCAUUUUACUUCAUUACAAGGGAGUAACUCUUCCAUGUAAGAGCUUCCUCCAUGGUAUUUGAUCCAUCCAUGGAAGGGGUUAAUCGUCUAAGGUGACAAGUUGCGGCGCUCCGUGGGAUGUAUCAUAGUCAUCCUUGAUGAGGCUAUUUUACCACAUUACAAGGGGAUAGCUCUUCUUUGCAAAGGCUCCUCCAUGAUAUUUGAUCAAGCUACGUAAGGGGUUAAUCAUCUAAGGUAACAAGUUGUGGCUCUCUAUGGGACACAUCACACUUGUCCUUGAUAAGGCUAUUUUACCUAUUUGCAAGGGGGAGAGCUUUUCACUACAAGGGCUUCCCCCAUGAUUUUGGAUCCAUUAUAUGGAAGUGGUUAAUCCUUUAAGGUAACAAGUUCUGGCUCUCUGUGGGAUGCAUCACACUUGUCCUUGAUGUGGCUAUUUACUACUUUAAAGGGGAUAGCUCUUUUUUGCAAGGGCUUUCUCCAUAGUGUUUGAUCCAUCCAUGAAAGGGGUUAAUCCUCUAAGGUAGCAAGUUAUGGCUCUCUAUGGGAUGCAUUACACUCAUCGUUGAUGAGGCUAUUUUACCUUCUUGCAUAGGGAUAGCUCUUCCUUACAAAGGCUUCUUCCAUGGUGUUUGAUCCAACCAUGGAAGGAAUUUUAUAUAGUCGAAACACUGAUACAUUGUUAAGAUCAAGCCUUUCAUGGUAGAGGCAAUGAUACAUAAGCGAGAUGAGGCCUCGUAUAGUGAAGGUACUAAUGUAUAGGCGAGAUAAGGCUUUGGAUUAUGGAGUCCAAUAUUUCAUGGAUAAGGCCUAUUAAUUCAGCAAGUAUGACCCCCAUUUUCAAGGAUCCUCCCUUCUUCAGGGGCCUUCCUUCUUUAAGAGUUAUUAUUCAUAACCUUUUUUCAGAGGCCUCCUGAUAUAACCCAGGAGUCGAGCUCGACAAAGGCAAGUGCGAGACGAGAUCCGUUGAUAGUCGAUGGCGAACCGAUGACGCGAUCGAAGACGAGACGAGUCAACGAGGCGAUGAGAUUGCUCGUCAAGGCAAAGAUUGAAGACACCAUGUUCGGGACUCAAAAUGGAGCAACUUUCAUGUUUGAGUCGAAGACCGAAUCAACUUGGAUCAAUUUAAUAUCGAAAGCCAAAAUCAAAGGGAAAUUUAAAGUCUGUGCAGUUGCACAAGCAUACACGCUCGCGAUCGCACGGUGGUCUACCGAAGCUCAAAGGAGGCAUUUUGUUUGAACCAUGCAACCGCAUGGAAUUGCACGUUGCGGCCGCAUAGGCUAAUUUUUGGACGAAUUUCCUAUUUUUGGUAUUUUUUCAUAUUUUGUUAGUUUUUUAUUCUUUUCUAUACUUUGGGAAUUAUGUUCGACUUUUGCAUGAUUUUUAUCUAGUUUUUAGGUUUAGUAUAAAUAGAAGUUUUCAUUCAAUUGUAAGAACUUUUGACAUUUUUGAUAUUGAAUUAAAGUGAGG
rnacentral:lncRNA from 1 species